UUAAAUAGCCAGAGUGAACAGUAGUAGACACCAAGAGAGUCACUCCAUCUGAGCAUUAAGUGUUUUCCGUCUACCAAGAGUCUAUUGAGAGAAAAGACAAGCAAAAGAAGGAAGAACCGUAUUCAAUACAUAACUAGAAGUCUUCCCUUCGCAUUCAAGGCUCUUCCUCUGACAUUAGAUCUUCAGUGCAUUCAAAGAGGAGACUCAGAGUUCGAGAAGCC
rnacentral:lncRNA from 1 species